rnacentral:rRNA from 1 species
GACGAACGCUGGCGGCGUGCUUAACACAUGCAAGUCGAGCGGUAAGGCCCUUUCGGGGGUACACGAGCGGCGAACGGGUGAGUAACACGUGGGUGACCUGCCCUCAGCUCUGGGAUAAGCCUGGGAAACUGGGUCUAAUACUGGAUAUGACUCCACGGUGCAUGUCGUGGGGUGGAAAGCCUUGUGCGGCUGAGGAUGGGCCCGCGGCCUAUCAGCUUGUUGGUGGGGUGANGGCCUACCAAGGCGACGACGGGUAGCCGGCCUGAGAGGGCGACCGGCCACACUGGGACUGAGACACGGCCCAGACUCCUACGGGAGGCAGCAGUGGGGAAUCUUGCGCAAUGGGCGAAAGCCUGACGCAGCGACGCCGCGUGAGGAAUGACGGCCUCGGUUGUAAC